GACAUAGGUCGCAAACGUUAUCCGGAAUUAUUGGGCGUAAAGGAUGCGUAGAUGGUUCAGUAAGUUACUGGUGGGAAAUCGAGGCCUAACCUCGUGGAAGUUAGUAAUACUGUUGAACUUGAGUGCAGGAGAGGUUAACGGAACUUCAUGUGGAGCGGUAAAAUGCGUAGAUAUAUGAAAGAACAUCAAUAUAGCGAAGGCAGUUAACUAUUCUGCUACUGACAUUGAGGCAUGAAAGCGUGGGGAGCAAAACGG
rnacentral:rRNA from 1 species